UGAACCUGGAACCAUGUGGUUGGGAAACAAUCUUCUUAUUACACAUCUUCCCUACGCCUAUAUAUACACCUGAAUUAUCAAAGACUCAAUUCUUAAAUGUAAAAGUUGGUAAAUAUAUGUUUUUUAUACAUCAUAAUGCAAGUGUGAAUGUGAAGUUAAGAAGUAUGUUUCUCUACCAUAUGGUUUCAGGUUCAAUUUCAGGGCAUGGUACCUUGGGCAAGUGUCUUCUAUUAUGGACCCGGGCAAACCAAAACCAUGAAAUAAAUCCAUGUGUGUGAGUGCAUGUGUGUGUGUGUGUUUCCUUGUCUUGACAUCAUGUGACAGAAGGAGAAUGAGAGAGAAAAUUUUGCAUUCAAAUUUCUUUCUCAAGAUAAAAAAGUAGUAGUUAUUGCAUAAAAAAUUAAACUAACAAAAAUAAAAUUCAAGAACUAUUUUAUUCUGAAACACAAAAAUUAUACACUAAAAAAAUGUAUUUCACAAAAAAGAAAGAAUACAGAUAGUAAAAAAAAUCAAUAUACGGCUUCAUUCAUUAGAGUAUGCAUUGUACUGUGAGAUACGAUGUGUUAGGAGACAGAAGGAAACUGCUAUUACCUUAGCUUGGUGUUAUAUAGUUUUAUAAAAGCAAUUUUUUAUUAUGUGUUACACACAUUCAUCAUUCAGGUAUUCAGGAUUACAUAUUUGGAAUUAGAUUACAAGAAAUCAACCCUGUAGUAGACUGUACCUAUCAUUGAAUUGAAUAAAAACAUAAGAAAGGCUGACCAUAAGGAUAAUUGCAUAUGUAAUAUGGAUUAUCUUACUUAUGACAAAUAAUAAAAAAAAAAUUAAAUAUUAAGGAAAUAAAAUGCUUCUCUUUUAAGUAUUUAGGGUUUUGCUCCUGGCUUUUACUUUUCAAAUUAUUUGACUAAAUUAUUUUCCCUUAUUGUAUUAGUAUGGGUAGCUCCAAACAACUUAUCUUGUUAAAGAGCAUACCGCUCAAAAUAUUAAAAUCCAUUUCUUUUCCUCACAUUUUAAUACUCUAACUUUUGAAACAAUAUUUUUUCUUUUUAUCACAAUUUUGCCUGUUUGGUUUCACUUUAGCCAGAGUAGACCAAUGCCUAACCACCAUAAAAACUACAUUGCCUAUAACUAACCAGAUUUGGUAUUAUUCAUCUGACACCCAAAGGAUUAUAGACAAAUUAUUAUAUCUUUUUUUUUUCAAUUCUCAAAUCUCCAUCAAAGCUUGGUUUGCUCCACUAAAAGACAAGAUAAAUGUAAACUAUUAUGUUUAUGCUUUUCUCAAAAGGUAUUUUGUGAAACAAGUGAUGUGGAAUUGUUAUAGCCAGAUUCAAAUCCAACUGACAAACAUCCUGUCUAUCUCUUUAGCAUUCAGACUAUUCUGUCAAAUGUAAUGUUUAUUUAUUCAUUGCUGUAACUAUACAUCAACUUCAAGAUUUUGGUAAGAUUGUUUACUUUCAGAAUGACUUUGUAGAACAGGUGUGAAAUGCCAAAUCUAGUUAAUCUGAACAUAAAACAGGUAAAAUAUUUUAGCCAGAUAUGGCUGAUUCAAAUCCUUAAAAGGUCAAUCCCAAAGGCAUCCCUGACAUGACCAUCCAAUCAAUUUUUCUUUUUUCGAAUAAUAUAUCUAAGACCACAUAAUCCGAUGUGGCCUUCUGCUUUUAAGAAAAGCAGGGUGUGAUUUCAGGGAAAUUUAGCUAUUAUUUCCAACAGAUCAGGGAGAAACAUAGAGGCUAUCUUGUUUGCUCUGAAACUUAUUAAUGUUCAGGUGUGCUCUUUACUAGUUGAUCAUAUUAUUGAUUUCUCAUUAAAUUAAGUAUUUCAAUGUAUUAUUUGGUAGAAUAUAGUGAUUUCAUGCACAGUAGUAUUCAUAUUAGUGUAAAAGAUAUUAUUAUUACUAUUAUUAUUAUUAUUAUUAUUAUUAUUAUUAUUAGCAACAACUGAUUGCUAACAAAAAAAAAUGAAGAAUAAAUGAAAAUUGUAUUAAAUUGUUUUGCUUAUUAAGCAAUUACAUAUAACCAAAUACAGAGAACGAAUCAGUUAGCGCCAUUGCAGCAAGAAGUCCCUGAUGAUUUUAAUUGCUUUUCUUGAUUGUCGAGUAAAUCAAAUGGAUUGGUAAUCUGAACAAAAAGAGAAAAAAAAACUUUUAUUUAUAUAUACGUUCAUAUACAUAUUCAAUAAUAUACAUACAUUUAUAUAUAUAUAUAUAUAGAGAGAGAGAGACAGACAGAAAGACAGAGACCUGGAGUAGAGAUAAGGUUGCUAAUGUCCACAAAAAGGACUCUAGCCUAGCUAACUAAUUGAUUUACCAAAUGAUAAGUCAAACCAUUGGUUAAUUAUUAACACCAUAUAUGGUGUUAAUUAUAAGGUUGUCCCAAAAGUUUGUAGAAAGUCUUGGAAAAUAAUGGUCUUUAUUUUGAGGAAUAAUUUUUGUUGUUUUUGUUAGUACUUGGCGAGUAAAAAUUCAAUUUUCGCAAGUGUUUACAAACUUUUGGGACAACCUAAUAUUAACACCAUAUAUAUAUAUAUAUAUAUAUAUAUAUAUAUAUAUAUAUGGUGUUUUGCAAACAACUUGCAUAUGCAAGUUACUACCAGUCAAGAGCUUUGCAUACCAGAAGCCAGCCAGCAAGUAUAUGGGGUCAUAGGAGUGAAUGCAUGCCAUUUUGGGGCCUACCUCUCGAUGGCAUCAAUGUGUACUGCCCUCCUCCCCCUCACUGACAUGAGGCCUUGCUUGCUAGAUCAACUGGUUAUCAAAUAAAGCUUAAUAUUCUUCUAACCAUUGCUCAUCAUUUCUUUUUAACUAAAUCCAGUGGCUAGCAUUUUCCACUGUAGUUUGGAUAUCAGUCAUGGUGGUAUUGACUGUACGAUGAGUGAGGCCUAACGAUAACAACAGUUGUCUCACACUGUGUUCAACAAACCCUCUACAUCCGACUGAUUGGAAAAUGCUCCACUUUCCAGCCUGCGUCUUCACAUUCCUCGAGGAGGUUUACAUAACGGUCAAUCUUUCGAACCCGAGCGGUGUCUAUGUUAUCUUCAAAAGGAACCAUUAACUUGACUAAAUUCACAAAUUUCUUUCUUUUACAUCACAUUAAAAUGUCCAGUUUUGUCGUGACUGGAAUGAGAAAGAGUCCCUGGCACCCUGGUAAACCCUUAUAUAUAUAAACAUAUCCUGAUAUCAUCAUCCUCAUCAUCAUCAUCAUCGUUUAACGUUCGUUUUCCAUGCUAGCAUGGGUUGGACGGUUCGACUGGGGAUCUGGGAAGCCAUAAGGCUGCACCAGGCUCCAGUCUGAUCUGGCAGUGUUUCUACAGCUGGACGCCCUUCCUAACGCCAACCACUUCAAGAGUGUAGUGGGUGCUUUUUAUGUGCCACCGGCACAGGUGCCAGGGAAGGCUGGCAAUAGUCACGAUUGGUUGGUGCUUUUUAUGUGCCAUCGGCCAUGUUCAGAUGGUACUUUUUACGCUGCACCGGCACAGGUAUCACAACUACAAUUUCAUAUAUAUAUAUAUACAUACAUAUAUAUAAAAUCCUUUACUUGUUUCAGUCAUUUGACUAAAACUCCCCCAAAAUGUUAGAAACUUUGUUAAAUACUUACGUCACAGGAAACUUUUUCAGUUGCAGCUGUUUGGUCCUGUAAAAAUAUACAUUGGAUAGUUAUUAAAUAUGUCACAUGGUAGAAGAUUUUAUUAUUAUUCAAAUAUUAUAUUGACACAUUAUCAUCAUCAAGAUAUCCCUUAACUGAUGCAGCCAGUCAUUGGGGGGGAGGGCCACUCUAGAUGCUUUCAUUGUCAGUCAUCACCAGUGGUCUCUGUUCUCUGUCAUGCAUAGCAGGUUUUGCUGUGUUGUGAACCAUCCAGUCCUUGAUGUUGUGAAACCAGGAUUUUGACUGUGUGCCCCUCUUUUGCCCUCCCUCAGCUGUGCCCUGAAGAAUGGUUUUGGACAGGGAAUUGUGACGGCAUACACGACCCUAUCAGACUCACCAUUUAUAUGAAAAAAACUUACAAAAGUGAUUACACACUCCCACAAUAUAUUUGAUGGUAUAUAAGUGGUAUAUACGAGUGGCCGAUGCCAGCACCGCCUCGACUGGCUUCCGUGCCGGUGGCACAUAAAAUACACCAAUCCGACCGUGGCCGUUGCCAGCCCUGCCUGGCACCUGUGCAGGUGGCACAUAAAAAGCACUCACUACACUCACGGAGUGGUUGGCGUUAGGAAGGGCAUCCAGCUGUAGAAACAUUGCCAGAUUAGACUGGAGCCUGGUGCAGCCUUCUGGUUUCCCAGAACCCCGGUCGAACCGUCCAACCCAUGCUAGCAUGGAGAACGGACGUUAAACGACGAUGAUGAUGAUGAUGAUAAGAAUUUUUGGAAAAAAAAAAUGUCUCAAAACUUCACCUCGUAUGUGCAAAGUUGGGCCUAUAUUACAACCUUUAAUGAACAAAAAACUUUUUCACCUGAAUUUGGCUUGCUGAAAUGGGGUGCAUCUAAUAUACCCAUGUAGCUUUUAUGCCAUAAAAUCUUUUGCACACGUAUGCAUGUGUGUGUCUGUGUGCAUGUAAGUGUAUUUCAUUCAAAGGUGGCGAGCUGGCAGAAACAUUAGCACGCCGGGCGAAAUGCUUAGCGGUAUUUCAUCUUCCGCUAUGUUCUGAGUUCAAAUUCCGCCGAGGUCAACUUUGCCUUUCAUCCUUUCGGGGUCGAUUAAAUAAGUACCAGCUACGCACUGGGGUCGAUGUAAUUGACUUAAUCUGUUUAUCUGUCCUUGUUUGCCCCCUCUGUGUUUAGCCCCUUGUGGGUAGUAAAGAAAUAGGUAUUUCGUCUGCCGUUAAGAUCUGAGUUCAAAUUCCACCGAGGUCGACUUUGCCUUUCAUCCUUUCGGGGUCGAUUAAAUAAGUGCCAGUUACGCACUGGGGUCGAUGUAAUCGACUUAAUCUGUUUGUCUGUCCUUGUUUGUCCCCUCUGUGUUUAGCCCCUUGUGUGUAGUAAAGAAAUAUGUAUUUCAUUCAAAGCUAAUGAUCCACUCAGUCACUUUUUAAAGCUUCUUGUGUGUACAUGUGAUAUACAUUCAAGAGACAGAAGUAUUGCUUUAUAAUAUACUAUUACAAUAUAUAAAUUAACAUAUAACAUAAUACAGUGGAUUAAUGUCAUGGAUAAAUAUACUCAAAUUGUAGAGUAUAUUUUUCUGUAUUCUACAAUAAAGAGUUCAGAGUUCAUCACUUACAUUUCGUUAAGAUUAUCUCUCCAGAUUUUCUAUUGAAAUUAUAGCCAGGACAGGUGUAAACAAUGAAAUGUUUACAUCAGGUGUUCUGGAUACAAAAUAUUAUAACAAAUCCAGAGCUGACUAUAAUUUCCAUAGAAAAUCUGGAGAGAUAUAAUCUUAAUAAAAUGUAAGUUAUGAACUCUGAACUUUUUAUUAUGAAAUUAAGUGAUGUAUUGGGAUAUUUCAUAAUGCAACUAUAAUAUAAUGGGUUGUCUGGAAAGUUUGUGCCGAUUUUUAAAGGAAAGAAAAAAGGUCAAUAGAUGCUUGCCAUUACAUUUUUAAUCAACCAAAUAUGAACCAUUUUGUUGCACAAUGCAUCUCCAUCUUUCCUUUAACUCGAAAAUAUCCCUUCCCAGAAUUGAGGUGGUUUCAUGGCAAAGAAUUCAUCAAGGUAUCUUUUUAAGUCAUCCAAGGAAUUGAAAUUUUUACCUUUAAGACUAUUCUGCAGAGACCUGAAUAAGUGGAAAUCCGAAGGAGCAAUAUCUGGUGAAUAUGGAGGGUGGGGUAACACAUCCCAGCUGAACUGCAGCAAUUUUUGUCUGGUUCCCAAAGCAUCAAGUGCCGAAAAUGAACUUUCUUAUCUUCCAUUUUAAAGGGUUACAGAAUUAACACAGGUUAUAGGAACAUAAACCUUCUUCCAUGAAAGGACAGCUUAAACUGUGCUCUGAAUGGAGGUGUAGUCAAAUCCUAUUUUAUGGACUCAACUAUGUUCUAAAUUAUGUCGAAAUGUAAGUUACAAUAAAUCGGCAUGAACUUUCCGAACAACCCAAUAAUAACACUGCUAGCACAGUAGAACACUGUAUUGACUUAUAAAAACAUUUAAUAGACUGUAGUAUAUUAUAGUUGCAAAACAAAAUACGGUGUCCCUAAAAGUCAUUAAAACUUACAUUUUGUUCAGUAAUUUGGAAUUUUUCUCCAAAACGAGAAUAUUUCAGGAUAGCAUGUAAAUCCGCGUCAACAGUCACAGGUUUGUUGGACUGAAAAUAGAAAAUAAUUUAAAUCCAUUUACUCGUUUAAAGGUCAACUGAAAAAAAAAAAAAGAUUCACUCAAGAAGCCUUAUGACCAAAGAGGUAGGCCACUGCCCUAGGGUUUGUAGUCUUACCUCAAGGUUCCAUAGUCCUGCUUACCCAGGGUUCACAGUCUUGCAAACUGCAUGACAGCCUCUUUAGUGCUGGUGACAUGAAAAAGACAUCCAAUUCAAGGUGUAAAGGGGCUAGCAUUAGGAAGGUGCUGGUGCAAUGUAAAAAGAAACCACCUGUGCUGGCACCAUGUAUAAAUACACUGAGAUCGUUGCCAGAGCAACAAGCUGGCCUCCAUGCCAAUGGUAUGUUAAAAACACCAUUCGAGUGUGAUCGUUACCUGUGUCGCCUUAUUAGCACUUGUGCUGGUGGCAUGUGAAAAAAACAUUCGAGUGAGGUCAUUGCCAGUGCUGCUGGACUAGCUCUUGGGCCAGUGGCACAUAAAAAGCAACAUUUGAGCGUGGCCAUUGCCAGUACCAGCACACUGGCCCUCGUGCCUGUGGCACGUAAAAGCACCCUCUACACUCUCGGAGUGGUUGGUGUUAGGAAGGGCAUCCAGCUGUAGAAACUCUGCCAGAUCAGAUUGGAGUCUGGUGCAGCCAUCUGGUUAGCCAGACCUCAGUCAAAUCGUCCAACCCAUGCUAGCAUGGAAAGCGGACGUUAAACGAUGAUGAUGAUGAUGAUGUUGAUGUCACAUAAAAGAGCAACCACUCUAGCAAUGCAUAAAAAUCCACCCAUGCCAGUGCCAUGUAAAAAUAUAGAUGUACUGGCGCCACCUAAAAAGCACCCAGUACACUCUGUGAACGGGUUGAUGUUAGGAAGAGCAUCCAGCCAUAGAACCCAUGCCAAAAUAGACAACUGGAGCCUGGUGUGGCCCUCUGGGUUGCUACCUCAUAUCAAACACUUCAACCCAUGCCAGCAUGGAAAACGGGUAUUAGAUGAUGAUGAUUAUGAUGAUGCUUAUGGAGAAUGAGAUUGGGUAAAAGAAGUGUCGAGCAAUCAAAGUGCAAAGGACCUGUAGAAUGAAGAUGUGAAAGAGGAAGACCAAAAAAGAAUGGGAAGAUAUGUCGAGAGCUGAUCUCAAGAGACAAUGCUGUGAAGGAGAUAACAAAGAGCUGCAGCAAAUAAUGGAAUUCUGUGCUAGAGGAGGCUCAUCCAACAUUAGUAAGCAUAGGAGUAGGAGUGGCUGUGUGGUAAGUAGCUUGCUAACCAACCACAUGGUUCCGGGUUCAGUCCCACUGCGUGGCACCUUGGGCAAGUGUCUUCUACUAUAGCCUUGGGUCGAUCAAAGCCUUGUGAGUGGAUUUCGUGGACGGAAACUGAAAGAAGCCUAUCGUAUAUAUAUAUGGCCUGCUCGCUUAGCCAGUGGGGUGGCGUCAUUCGAAGGUUAAAACAAUGCGAAUGCAUUGUGACCAGCGAUGUGUAGCAACAUCUGAUGGUCUGGUCGGUCACAUGAUCAUGUGAUAUAUAUAUAUAAAUAUAUAUAUAUAUAUAUGUGUGUGUUUGUGGUGUGUAGAUGCUUGUGUGUCUGUAUUUGUGCCCCCAGUAUCGCUUGACAACCAAUGCUGGUGUGUUUAUGCCCCCAUAAUUUCAUGGUUCGGCAAAAGAGACCGAUAGAAUAAGUACAAGGCUUACAAAGAAUAAGUCCUGAGGUCGAUUUGCUCGACUAAAGGCGGUGCUCCAGCAUGGCCACAGUCAAAUGACUGAAACAAGUAAAAGAAAGAAAAGAAAAAGAAAAGAAUAUAGGGAAAUGGACGUAAAAUAAUAGUGUUUCGAAUAGUGGUUUGCAUAUUUUAUGAACGACUUUAAAUCUACAUAAAUUUCCAUCUGUGCCUCGUUUGUAAUUAUUUACUUACAGAGAAUGUUAUGUGACGACUAAAUUUCAGACUGUCCUCAUGAUCCACAAUACCUCCAGUGUAGACUACUUGGGCAGAAGAUGGUUUGGAAUUCUUUGGUAACUUAAAAAGACGACAUGUAACAGCAGCAUACUUUAUGUUACCUGAAAAAUUAAAGAAUGAGAUAUAUUUUUAUUCUUGAAAUAAAAUCUAUUUUAUUCAGGGAUAAGCAAAUAAAUUUUUUGCAAAUGUUACCAAUUCCUUUGAAUGAGUUACCUAAAAAAUAGACAAACUAAAGACAAACCUCUAUGCAGUCAAUUUCCCUGCUAGAAAUAGUAACAAAAUAUCCCUCAAGUCACAUACUACCAUCUUAAACCUUUAGUAUUUGAACUGGUCAUACCGGGCUCAAAUAUUCUACCUAUCUCACAUUCAGAUUGACAGGAUCUGGCCUCUUACACCCACCCUAGUCAUAGAAACCAUGCCAAAACAGAUAAAUGGAGACUUGUGCAGCUCUCCAGCUGACCAGUUCUUGUCAAAAUGUCGAAUCCAUGCCAGCAUGGAAAAUGGACAUUAAAUGAUGAUGACCAUCAUCAUCAUGAUAAUCCCAUCUAACCCAUACAAGCAUAGAAAAGUGAGCAUUCAAACAAAAAUGAUCAUCAGGAAACAUUUUUUCACGCUGAGAGUUGCUGAAGCAUGGAACAAACUGCCGGCAUCAGUUGUUAGUUGUCAGAACACUGCAUCCUUCAAAACUUCCAUGCUUCCUGAGAUUCGCCAACACUACACCUGAUUUUCUCCCUCCAUACACACGCAAGCAUGUAUCUGACUCAUACACUGUUCACUUCCCAGACAUUUGUACAUACUGCAUAUGCCUUAUACACACUUUUGACAAGUUGUGGUGCACUUGAGCACUAUAUACAAUAAUUUCAUUAUUAUUAUUAUUAUCAUUUUUAGCCCUCAAAAGGAAAUGGGAUGUCACCCAGACAAGUCUGAUCAUUUUUUAAUACAUACACAAGAUUCUUGCUUUCUGCCUUUAACCCUCCAACGCAGAGUAUAGGCCACUUAUAAUUGAAUUCCAUGUCGCACAAUUUUUCGCAUCUGUACUUAUUCUCUGCCAUGAAUGUCGCCAUUUCUCUAGUUCCUUUUGUGUUGACCUACGCCACGAGUUCUUAGGCCUACCUCUCUUUCUAUAUCCAUCUGGAUUCCACUGUAAAGCACUUUUUGCUACAUUUGGUGCGUCUUUUCUAAUUAUGCUACUAAUCCACUUCCACUUUUUCUUAAAUAUUUGCUCCCUAAUCGAAACUUGAUUUAUUCUUUGCCAUAGCUCCAAAUUGCUUAUGUGUUCAGGCCAUCUAAUUUUAAGUAUACUACGCAAGCAUCUGUUGAUGAAUGAUUGUAUUUGCUUAUUUGACUUAACUGUUGUUCGCCAUGUCUCAGCCCCAUACAAUAACACCGCUUUUACGUUAGUGUUAAAAAUUCUUAUUUUGUUCUUUAUUGAAAUUACACUUGCGCUCCAUACUUUUUUUUAUGCAAGAUUAGACAGAGAAUAUCCUUCAAUUAAAUAAUGGAACAAAUCAAGUAGAAAUUAAUUGAGUAAAAAAUAAAUACAAUGAAAAAAGCUUUCUUACCAAUAAGUUUUUUGUAAUCUUCCCUUUCAACAGGAAUACGGGAAACGCUGACAAUAUGAACUUGACUAAAUCCAAUUUCUUGAGUUAGUUCUUGGAGUUGCUUCCAAUAAAGUGCCCCAGAAAGGCCUUCACCUUUGGAUUUAAAAAAAAUUUGGGUUUAUUGGAAAUUUAUAAAAGCAUCAGUGGAUAAAGCAGGUGAUACACCAAAAUGAAAGGAGACAUUAGUGAGUGAUGCACAAAACACAAAACAAAGUAUAAUUAAAUAUCCUUUUGUAAUUUUCGCACAAAGCCAGCAAUAUGGGGGAGGAGGUAAGUUGAUUACAUCAACCCCAGUACUCAACUGGUACUUAUUGUAUCGACCCCUGAAAGGAUGAAAGGCGAAGUCAGACUUGACAGAAUUUGAACUCAGAACAUAAAGAUGCACAAAAUACCAGACUAAGCGUUUCUAUUUUAAUUCAGAACUUAUGAAAACAAGAUGGUUUCAGUUGGGUUGGUAUUGAAAGAGUUAAUUUAUCGACCCUGAAAGGAUAAAUGGCAGUCAACGUCAACAGAAUUUGAACUCAGAACCUAAAAGUAGAUGAAAAACCACUACACAUUUUCCCAAGCCUGCUAAUGAUGCAGCCAGCUUACCACAUUAACCCUUUCGUUACCAACCCGGUUGAAACUGGCUCUGGCUCUGAGUACAAAUGUCUUGUUUUCAUAAGUUUUGUAUUAAAAUCUUCCACCAAACCUUAGUCACGAUUUAUGUUCCUAACACUAGCUUAAUGGUAACUAAGUUAUUUUACUAAAUUCUUGGUUAUAUUUAAAAUAAUUGAAAGAAACACACAGCAUCUCAACAGAAAUAUGGUAACAAAAGGGUUAACAAAUGAUUGAUUUAACCUUUUUGUUACCAACCCGGCUGAAACCGGCUCUGGCUCUGAGUACAAAUGUCUUGUUUUCAUAAGUUUUGUAUUAAAAUCUUCCACCAAACCUUAGUCACGAUUUAUGUUCCUAACACUAGCUGAAUAAUAACUAAGUUAUUUUACUAAAUUCUUUGUUAUAUUUAAAGUAAUUGAAAGAAACACAGAGCAUCUCAAAAUAAAUACAGUAAUGAAAGGGUUAAAGCCUAAUUAAAUAUUAACAAUCAAAAUAAAUUAACUAAUUUACAUAAUUACAAACUUUAACAUGAAAACUUAUUCAUUCCCUUCUUAUCCAAAUAUCAACUUUAUCUUUCUACUGAAGUAACAGGAAAUGACUAUUUUGGCACAGCAAAAUUUAGGUGCCAGUGAAUUGAUGUUGACUUAUUUGACAACAGACGUUUUAAUGUUUCUUUCAUUCCCUCUCUCCUUCUCUCACACUUUCUGAUUAUGUGUGAGCACAUUUCCCUAUGUGUGAGAAGAGAGGGAAAGUGUUUAUGUUGAUUGCAUUCAAUUUAUCUUUUACUCAUUUCAGUCAUUAGACUGUGGCCAUGCUGGGACACUGCCUUGAAGCAAUUUUAGUUAACAAAUCAACCCCAGUGCCCCACCCUUUUUUUUUAAUCUGGAACUUAUUUUAUUGGUCGUUUUUGCUGAACUGCUAAGUUACAGGAGCUUAAACACAUCCACACUGGUUGCCAAGCAAGGAAGUGGGAGGCAAACACACACACGUAUAUAUACACACACACACGUAUAUACACACAUAUGGUGAGCUUCUUUCACUUUCUGCUUGCCAAAUCUACUCACAAGCCUUUGGUCUGCCUGAGGCUAUAGUAGAAGACUUUGCCCAAGGUACCAUGCAGUGAGACUGAACCCAGAACCAUGCAGUUGGGAAGCUCCUUAUCACACAGCCACACCUGCAUCAUCAUUGCUUAACAGCUGUUUCCAUGCUGGCAUGGAUUGGAUGGUUUGACUGCAGAUUGGCAAGCCUGGAGACUGCACCAAGCUCUAAUCUGAUCUGGCAAUGUUUCUACAGAGGGUUGCCCUUCCUAAUGCCAACCACUCAGAGUGUAGUAGAUGCUUUUUACGUGCCACAAGUAUGGGAUGAAAUACUUAGCGGUAUUUUGUCUGCUGUUACGUUCUGAGUUCAAAUUCCACCAAGGUCAACUUUGCCUUUCAUUCUUUCGGGGUUCGAUUAAAUAAGUACCAGCUACGCACUGGGGUCAAUAUAAUUGACUUAAUCCGUUUGUCUGUCCUUGUUUGUCCCUUCUGUGUUUAGCCCCUUGUGGGUAGUAAAGAAAUAUGUAUUUCACCCAUCGCUACGUUCUGAGUUCAAAUUCCACCGAGGUCAACUUUGCCUUUCAUCCUUUUGGGGUUGAUUAAAUAAGUACCAGUUAUGCACUGGGGUCAAUGUAAUCGACUUAAUCCCUUUGUCUGUCCUUGUUUGUCCCCUCUAUGUUUAGCUCCUUGUGGGCAAUAAAGAAAUAACUGGCAUCAGCCACAUUCAGAUGGUGCUUUUUACAUGCUACCAGCACAGAAGCCAGCCAGAGCAAUGGGGCUGGCAUCAACCAUAUUUUGAUGGUAUUUUUUACAUGCCACUGGCACGGGGAGCCAGUCAGGCAGUACUGGCAAUGACCCAUGCAUGAAUGGUGCUAUUUCAAGGGGCUAAACAUAUAAGGGACAAACAAGGAUAGGUAUUAAGUUGAUUACAUCGAACCCAGUGCGUAACUGGUACUUUAUUUAUCGACCCCGAGAGGAUGAAAGGCAAAGUCGACCUCGGCGGAAUUUGAACACAGAAGGUAACGGCAGACGAAAUACCGCUAGGCAUUUCGCCCGACAUGCUAACGUUUCUGCCAGCUUGCCGCCUUCAUGCUUAUUGCACACCACCAGCACGGGAGCAUCUAUGUUAAUAAUAAAUUGUAAUGUCUCUCGCUCUUACACUCUUCUCUUUGUAUUUAUAUAUUUCUGCACAUGAGUGCAUGCAUAUGGUGUUCAUGAUGAUGACAGUAAAUAGAUAAUUAUGAGUUGCAUACUCUUUUACUUGUUUCAGCCAUUUGACUGCGCCCAUGCUGGAGCACCGCCUUUAGUCGAACAAAUCGACCCCGGGACUUAUACUUUGUAAGCCCAGUACUUAUUCUAUUGGUCUCUUUUGCCGAACCGCUAAGUGACGGGGACGUAAACACACCAGCAUCGGUUGUCAAGCAAUGCUAGGGGGACAAACACAGACACACAAACACAUACAUAUACAUACAUAUACAUAUAUAUGACAGGCUUCUUUCAGUUUCUGUCUACCAAAUCCACUCACAAGGUUUUGGUCGGCCCGACGCUAUAACAGAAGACACUUGCCCAAUGGUGCCACGCAGUGGGACUGAACCUGGAACCAUGUGGUUGGUUAGCAAGCUACUUACCACACAGCCACUCCUGUGCCUACAUGAUUAAGAAUGAGAAAUAAAAAUGAAUGAAUGAAAGAAAGAAAGAAAUACAAACCCCAGAGUUCCUUAUUUGUGCGUAUAUCAGCAGGAACCUCUUGGUCAGCAUACAUAUCACUGAAGUAUAGUUCGCCGCCUUCCUAACAGUUCAGAGAUGAAUAAUUUAAAAAUCAUUUGUUACCAGAACAAGCAAAAAUAUGCCAAUGCAUUACAAUGAAAAGCCAAAAUCAAUAAUACCUGAAACUGGUUAUAAGAUCACAUAUAGUCUGGCCUGAUGGCCUGACAUCCCCAUACAGGAGUGAAAAUGAUGGUCAUUGGGAGGUACUGAAUUUUCCUGUUCCAGUUAUAAAUCAUUACUUUAGAAUACUUUUUUUCUAUUUUGAUUCCCAAUAGGCGUAGGAGUGGCUGUGUGGUAAGUAGCUUGCUUACCAACCACAUGGUUCCGGGUUCAGUCCCACUGCGUAGUACCAUGGGCAAGUGUUUUCUACUAUAGCCUCGGGCCGACCAAAGCCUUGUGAGUGGAUUUGGUAGACGGAAACUGAAAGAAACCCAUCAUAUAUAUGUAUAUGUUUGUGUGUCUGUGUUUGUCCCCCCAACAUCACUUGACAACUGAUGCUGGUGUGUUUAUGUUCCUGUAACUUAGCGGUUUGGCAAAAGAGACUGAUAGAAUAAGUACUAGGCUUACAAAGAAUAAGUCCUGGGAUCGAUUUGCUUGACUAAAGGUGGUGCUCCAGCAUGGCCACAGUCAAAUGACUGAAACAAGUAGAAGAGUAAUAGAGUAAUGAUAUGGUUUUGAAUUUAAUCCCAUUACAUGACAACUUGAGCAAGUAUUUUCUACUAUAGCCUCAGAUCAGCCAAAACUUUGUGAACGGAUUAGAGUAUAAGAAAACUAAAAGAAGCCCAUUAUAUACAUAUGUAUAAAUAUAUGUAAAUCUAAGAUCCAAGGAUCAAGGUGUAGGAAGAAAGUAAGCUUCAAGCAAUCUGUAGUAAAUAUAAAAAAAACAACUUUCAGGAACAAAAGUGGUUUAUUGAGAUGGAAGGUUGUAGAUUGUUUUCUUGUCAAAGUAUCAUCAUCAUCAUCGUUUAACGUCCGUUUUCCAUGCUAGCAUGGGUUGGACGAUAUGACUGAGGACCGGCGAACCAGAUGGCUGCACCAGGCUCCAAUCUGAUCUGGCAGAGUUUCUACAGCUGGAUGCCCUUCCCAAUGCCAACCACUCUGAAAGUGUAGUGGGUGUUUUUACAUGCCACCGGCACGAGGGCCAGUCAGGCGGUACUGGCAACGAUCAUGCUUGGAUGGUGCUCUUAGCGCUCCACUUGCACAGAUGCCAGAUAAAUUGAAAAAAGUCCUUUUUUUAUAUUUCACGGAAGGCAACAAGGGCUGCUGGGUAUAUGAAUAAGAAUACAAGAGUAAAGGGAUGGAGUAGAUAAGAUCUGGGCUACAUAUGUUUCAUAGCAAGUGGAACCUCAGAAGUGGUAAAUAUCCGAGUGAAGUGUAUACUGCAGGCCACUCUUCAGGCCAAGGAUAUCUUGAUUAAAUGAAAGUUUACAUUGUCGCAAGGAGGUACAUGUUGAUGCAUGGAAAAUUCAAUCAGAAUAUAUAGAGAGCACAGAAGGAGUGGAGAAUAUACAUGUGGCACAUAAAAAGCACCAUUCGAGCAUGAUCGUUACCUGCGUUGCCUUACUGGCACUUGUGCUGGUGGCACAUGAAAAAACAUUUGAGUGAGUUCAUUGUUGGUUUAAUAUAUAGUGAUAGUGAGGGUAAAGAAGAGGGAAAAUUUAUGAAGGUUAAGGGGAAAAGGCAGGGUGGGGUUGCUGUUAUUUGCAUUUAGAGAAAAAAUUUAGCGACCAAUGUUUGCAGGUAAAAAUUAUGCUGUUGCGUUCAUUAAGACGAUCCACGGAUUGCAAAAUAGCCAAGACUUCGGCUAUGCAGUAAUCACACUUAUUACAGCAGCUGUAUGGUUUGGCGUAGGCGACUAUGGACCACUUGAGAGUGUAAGAAGUUGAAUCAAUCUUUUAGUUCAAUGAUAAGCUGAGAUAACGAUGUACUGUUGGAUUUUGUUUGGGACUUGAAACUUGGAGUAGUGGUUGCUCACUCUAACUUUGAAGGUCAUGCUGCAUGAUCUGAUAUGAAUGUACUGACAGUUGGCAGCUGAAACUGUACACUUGUAAACUAUUUUUUUUUUUUGUGAGACAGCGAUUAUAUAAAGAACAAGAGGUUGGGCAUCUGAAAUUGCAUAGGUUUAGACGGGGUGUCUGUGUUUGUCCCCUACCACCACUUGACAAUUAGUGUUGGCGUGCUUAUGUGCUCUUAACUUAGUGGUACAGCAAAAGUAAGUCACUGAGAUCAGUUCAUUCAAUUAAAAAAGGUGAUGCUCCAGCAUGGCCACAGUCUAAUGCUUGAAACAAGUAAAAGAUAGGCGCAGGAGUGGCUGUGUGGUAAGUAGCUUGCUUACCAACCACAUGGUUCCGGGUUCAGUCCCACUGCAUGGCACCUUGGGCAAGUGUCUUCUGCUACAGCCCCGGGCCGACCAAUGCCUUGUGAGUGGAUUUGGUAGACGGAAACUGAAAGAAGCCUGUCGUAUAUAUGUAUAUAUAUAUAUGUAUAUGUGUAUGUGUUUGUCCCCCUAGCAUUGCUUGACAACUGAUGCUGGUGUGUUUACAUCCCCGUCACUUAGCGGUUCGGCAAAAGAGUCCGAUAGAGUAAGUACUGGGCUUACAAAGAAUACGUCCCGUGGGUCGAUUUGCUCGACUAAAGGCGGUGCUCCAGCAUGGCCACGGUCAAAUUACUGAAACAAGUAAAAGAGUAAAGGAUAAUGUAAGACAUCACUUCAUACCUACUGGUGCGACUGUAUGCAUAUGUGCACAUCUAUAUAUCUGCAUAUACAAAUAUCUGCAUGUAUGUGUGUGUAUGUAUGUAUAUGUGUAGAUGAGAGUAUAUGUUUAUAUGAAUAUAUAUAUAUAUAUAUAUAAAUAUAUAGGCAUAGGAGUGACUGUGUGGUAAGUAGCUUGCUUAUGAACCACGUUGUUCUGGGUUCAGUCCCACUGUGUGGCACCUUGGGCAAGUAUCUUCUACUAUAGCCUCGGGCCCACCAAAGCCUUGUGAGUGGAUUUGGCAGACGGAAACUGAAAGAAGCCCAUCGUAUAUAUAUGUAUAUAUAUAUAUAUAUAUAUAUAUGACGACGAUGAUGAUGAGAUAUAUAUAUAUAUAUAUAUAUAUAUACAUACACGCACACACAUAUACAUGUGUGUGUUUGUCCCCCCAACAUCGCUUGACAACCGACGCUGGUGUGUUUACAUCCCCCGUAACUUAGCAGUUCAGUAAAAGUGACUGAUAGAACAAGUACUAGGUUUACAAAGAAUAAGUCCUGGGGUCGAUUUGCUCGACUAAAGACGGUGCUCCAGCAUGGCCACAGUCAAAUGAUUGAAACAAGUAAAAGAAUAAAAGAGUAAUGAUAUGGUUUCGAAUUUAAUCCCAUUACAUGACAACUUGUGCAAGUGUUUUCUACUAUAGCCUCAGAUCAGCCAAAACUUUGUGAAUGGAUUAGAGCAGAGGAAAACUAAAAGAAGCCCAUUAUAUACAUAUGUAUAAAUCUAUGUAAAUCUAAGAUCCAAGGAUCAAGGUGUAGGAAGAAAGUAAGCUUGAAGCAAUCUGUAGUAAAUAUAAAAAAAAAUAACUUUCAGGAACAAAAGUGGUUUAUUGAGAUGGAAGGUUGUAGAUUUUUUUCCUUCUCAAAGCAUCAUCAUCAUCAUCGUUUAACGUCCGCUUUCCAUGCUAGCAUGGGUUGGACGAUUUGACUGAGGACCGGCGAACCAGAUGGCUGCACCAGGCUCCAAUCUGAUCUGGUAGAGUUUCUACAGCUGGAUGCCCUUCCCAAUGCCAACCACUCUGAGAGUGUAGUGGGUGUUGGCACAAGGGCCAGUCAGGCGGUACUGGCAAUGGCCACACUCAAAUGGUGCUUUUACAUGCCACCUGCACAGAAGCCAGUCCAGCGACACUGGCAACGACCUUGCUCAAAUGUUUUUUCCCGUGCCACUGGCACAAGUGCCAUAAGGCAACGCUGGUAACGAUCACUCUCAAAUGGUGCUUUUUACGUGCCACCAGCACGGAAGCCAGUUUGCUGCUCUGGCAACGAUCAUGCUUGGAUGGUGGUCUUAGCGCUCCACUUGCACAGAUGCCAGAUAAAUUGAAAAAAGUCCUUUUUUUAUAUUUCACGGAAGGCAACAAGGGCUGCUGGGUAUAUGAAUAAGAAUACAAGAGUAAAGGGAUGGAGUAGAUAAGAUCUGGGCUACAUAUGUUUCAUAGCAAGUGGAACCUCAGAAGUGGUAAAUAUCCGAGUGAAGUGUAUACUGCAGGCCACUCUUCAGGCCAAGGAUAUCUUGAUUAAAUGAAAGUUUACAUUGUCGCAAGGAGGUACAUGUUGAUGCAUGGAAAAUUCAAUCAGAAUAUAUAGAGAGCACAGAAGGAGUGGAGAAUAUACAUGUGGCACAUAAAAAGCACCAUUCGAGCAUGAUCGUUACCUGUGUUGCCUUACUGGCACUUGUGCUGGUGGCACAUGAAAAAACAUUUGAGUGAGUUCAUUGUUGGUUUAAUAUAUAGUGAUAGUGAGGGUAAAGAAGAGGGAAAAUUUGUGAAGGUUAAGGGGAGAAGGCAGGGUGGGGUUGCUGUUAUUUGCAUUUAGAGAAAAAAAUUUAGCGACCAAUGUUUGCAGGUAAAAAUUAUGCUGUUGCGUUCAUUAAGACGAUCCACGGAUUGCAAAAUAGCCAAGACCUCGGCUAUGCAGUGAUCACACUUAUUACAGCAGCUGUAUGGUUUGGCGUAGGCGACUAUGGACCACUUGAGAGUGUAAGAAGUUGAAUCAAUCUUUUAGUUCAAUGAUAAGCUGAGAUAACGAUGUACUGUUGGAUUUUGUUUGGGACUUGAAACUUGGAGUAGCGGUUGCUCACUCUAACUUUGAAGGUCAUGCUGCAUGAUCUGAUAUGAAUGUACUGACAGUUGGCAGCUGAAACUGUACACUUGUAAACUAUUUUUUUUUUUUGUGAGACAGCGAUUAUAUAAAGAACAAGAGGUUGGGCAUCUGAAAUUGCAUAGGUUUAGACGGGGUGUCUGUGUUUGUCCCCUACCACCACUUGACAAUUAGUGUUGGCGUGCUUAUGUGCUCUUAACUUAGUGGUACAGCAAAAGGGACCAAUAUAUUAAGAACCGGACUUAAAAGAAGAAAGUAAGUCACUGAGAUCAGUUCAUUCAAUUAAAAAAGGUGAUGCUCCAGCAUGGCCACAGUCUAAUGCUUGAAACAAGUAAAAGAUAGGCGCAGGAGUGGCUGUGUGGUAAGUAGCUUGCUUACCAACCACAUGGUUCCGGGUUCAGUCCCACUGCAUGGCACCUUGGGCAAGUGUCUUCUGCUACAGCCCCGGGCCGACCAAUGCCUUGUGAGUGGAUUUGGUAGACGGAAACUGAAAGAAGCCUGUCGUAUAUAUGUAUAUAUAUAUAUGUAUAUGUGUAUGUGUUUGUCCCCCUAGCAUUGCUUGACAACUGAUGCUGGUGUGUUUACAUCCCCGUCACUUAGCGGUUCGGCAAAAGAGUCCGAUAGAGUAAGUACUGGGCUUACAAAGAAUACGUCCCGUGGGUCGAUUUGCUCGACUAAAGGCGGUGCUCCAGCAUGGCCACGGUCAAAUUACUGAAACAAGUAAAAGAGUAAAGGAUAAUGUAAGACAUCACUUCAUACCUACUGGUGCGACUGUAUGCAUAUGUGCACAUCUAUAUAUCUGCAUAUACAAAUAUCUGCAUGUAUGUGUGUGUAUGUAUGUAUAUGUGUAGAUGAGAGUAUAUGUUUAUAUGAAUAUAUAUAUAUAUAUAUAUAAAUAUAUAGGCAUAGGAGUGACUGUGUGGUAAGUAGCUUGCUUAUGAACCACGUUGUUCUGGGUUCAGUCCCACUGUGUGGCACCUUGGGCAAGUAUCUUCUACUAUAGCCUCGGGCCCACCAAAGCCUUGUGAGUGGAUUUGGCAGACGGAAACUGAAAGAAGCCCAUCGUAUAUAUAUGUAUAUAUAUAUAUAUAUAUAUAUAUCAUAUGAUGAUGAGAUAUAUAUAUAUAUAUAUAUAUAUAUACAUACACGCACACACAUAUACAUGUGUGUGUUUGUCCCCCCAACAUCGCUUGACAACCGAUGCUGGUGUGUUUACAUCCCCCGUAACUUAGCAGUUCAGUAAAAGUGACUGAUAGAACAAGUACUAGGUUUACAAAGAAUAAGUCCUGGGAUCGAUUUGCUCGACUAAAGGUGGUGCUCCAGCAUGGCCACAGUCAAAUGACUGAAACAAGUAAAAGAAUAAAGAGUAAUGAUAUGGUUUCGAAUUUAAUCCCAUUACAUGACAACUUGUGCAAGUGUUUUCUACUAUAGCCUCAGAUCAGCCAAAACUUUGUGAAUGGAUUAGAGUAUAAGAAAACUAAAAGAAGCCCAUUAUAUACAUAUGUAUAAAUAUAUGUAAAUCUAAGAUCCAAGGAUCAAGGUGUAGGAAGAAAGUAAGCUUGAAGCAAUCUGUAGUAAAUAUAAAAAAAAUAACUUUCAGGAACAAAAGUGGUUUAUUGAGAUGGAAGGUUGUAGAUUGUUUUCCUUGUCAAAGUAUCAUCAUCAUCAUCGUUUAACGUCCGUUUUCCAUGCUAGCAUGGGUUGGACGAUAUGACUGAGGACCGGCGAACCAGAUGGCUGCACCAGGCUCCAAUCUGAUCUGGCAGAGUUUCUACAGCUGGAUGCCCUUCCCAAUGCCAACCACUCUGAGAGUGUAGUGGGUGUUGGCACGAGGGCCAGUCAGGCGGUACUGGCAACGGCCACGCUCAAAUGGUGCUUUUACAUGCCACCUGCACAGAAGCCAGUCCAGCGACACUGGCAACGACCUUGCUCAAAUGUUUUUCCCGUGCCACUGGCACAAGUGCCAUAAGGCAACGCUGGUAACGAUCACUCUCAAAUGGUGCUUUUUACGUGCCACCAGCACGGAAGCCAGUUUGCUGCUCUGGCAACGAUCAUGCUUGGAUGGUGCUCUUAGCGCUCCACUUGCACAGAUGCCAGAUAAAUUGAAAAAAGUCCUUUUUUUAUAUUUCACGGAAGGCAACAAGGGCUGCUGGGUAUAUGAAUAAGAAUACAAGAGUAAAGGGAUGGAGUAGAUAAGAUCUGGGCUACAUAUGUUUCAUAGCAAGUGGAACCUCAGAAGUGGUAAAUAUCCGAGUGAAGUGUAUACUGCAGGCCACUCUUCAGGCCAAGGAUAUCUUGAUUAAAUGAAAGUUUACAUUGUCGCAAGGAGGUACAUGUUGAUGCAUGGAAGAUUCAAUCGGAAUAUGUAGAGAGCACAGAAGGAGUGGAGAAUAUACAUGUGGCACAUAAAAAGCACCAUUCGAGCAUGAUCGUUACCUGUGUUGCCUUACUGGCACUUGUGCUGGUGGCACAUGAAAAAACAUUUGAGUGAGUUCAUUGUUGGUUUAAUAUAUAGUGAUAGUGAGGGUAAAGAAGAGGGAAAAUUUGUGAAGGUUAAGGGGAGAAGGCAGGGUGGGGUUGCUGUUAUUUGCAUUUAGAGAAAAAAUUUAGCGACCAAUGUUUGCAGGUAAAAAUUAUGCUGUUGCGUUCAUUAAGACGAUCCACGGAUUGCAAAAUAGCCAAGACCUCGGCUAUGCAGUGAUCACACUUAUUACAGCAGCUGUAUGGUUUGGCGUAGGCGACUAUGGACCACUUGAGAGUGUAAGAAGUUGAAUCAAUCUUUUAGUUCAAUGAUAAGCUGAGAUAACGAUGUUCUGUUGGAUUUUGUUUGGGACUUGAAACUUGGAGUAGCGGUUGCUCACUCUAACUUUGAAGGUCAUGCUGCAUGAUCUGAUAUGAAUGUACUGACAGUUGGCAGCUGAAACUGUACACUUGUAAACUAUUUUUUUUUUUGUGAGACAGCGAUUAUAUAAAGAACAAGAGGUUGGGCAUCUGAAAUUGCAUAGGUUUAGACGGGGUGUCUGUGUUUGUCCCCUACCACCACUUGACAAUUAGUGUUGGCGUGCUUAUGUGCUCUUAACUUAGUGGUACAGCAAAAGGGACCAAUAUAUUAAGAACCGGACUUAAAAGAAGAAAGUAAGUCACUGAGAUCAGUUCAUUCAAUUAAAAAAGGUGAUGCUCCAGCAUGGCCACAGUCUAAUGCUUGAAACAAGUAAAAGAUAGGCGCAGGAGUGGCUGUGUGGUAAGUAGCUUGCUUACCAACCACAUGGUUCCGGGUUCAGUCCCACUGCAUGGCACCUUGGGCAAGUGUCUUCUGCUACAGCCCCGGGCCGACCAAUGCCUUGUGAGUGGAUUUGGUAGACGGAAACUGAAAGAAGCCUGUUCGUAUAUAUGUAUAUAUAUAUAUGUAUGUGUGUGUGUUUGUGUUUGUCCCCCUAGCAUUGCUUGACAACUGAUGCUGGUGUGUUUACAUCCCCGUCACUUAGCAGUUCGGCAAAAGAGUCCGAUAGAAUAAAGUACUGGGCUUACAAAGAAUAAGUCCCGUGGGUCGAUUUUGCUCGACUAAAGGCGGUGCUCCAGCAUGGCCGCAGUCAAAUGACUGAAACAUGUAAAAGAGUAAAGAGUAAUAUACGACACAUCUCUUCAUACGUACUUGGUGUGACUGUAUGCAUAUGUGCACAUCUAUAUAUCUGUAUAUACAAAUAUCUGCAUGUAUGUGUGUGUAUGUAUGUAUGUAUGUAUAUAUGUAGAUGACAGUAUAUGUUUAUAUGAAUAUAUAUAUAUAUAUAUAUAUAUAUAUAUAUAUAUAUAUAAAUAUUUAUAGGCAUAGGAGUGACUGUGUGGUAAGUAGCUUGCUUAUGAACCACGUCAUUCUGGGUUCAGUCCCACUGUGUGGCACCUUGGGCAAGUGUCUUCUACUAUAGUCUUGGGCCCACCAAAGCCUUGUGAGUGGAUUUGGCAGACGGAAACUGAAAGAAGCCCACCAUAUAUAUAUGUAUGUGAAUAUAUAUAUAUAUAUAUAUAUAUAUAUAUAUAUAUAUGACGACGAUGAUGAUGAGAUAUAUAUAUAUAUAUAUAUAUAUAUACACAUACACACACAUAUAUAUGUGUGUGUUUGUCGUUGACACCCCCCUGAUAGAACAAGUACUAGGUUUACAAAGAAUAAGUCCUGGGGUCGAUUUGCUCGACUAAAGACGGUGCUCCAGCAUGGCCACAGUCAAAUGACUGAAACAAGUAAAAGAGUAAAAAGAGAGUGUAUAUACACACACACACACACACACACACACACACACAUAUACUCUUUUAUUCUUUUACUUGUUUCAGUCAUUUGACUGUGGCCAUGCUGGAGCACUGCCUUUAGUCGUGCAAAUCGACCCCGGGACUUAUUCUUUGUAAGCCCAGUACUUAUUCUAUCGGUCUCUUUGCUGAACCGCUAAGUGAUGGGGACAUAAACACACCAGCAUCGGUUGUCAAGCAAUGCUAGGGGGACAAACACAGACACACAAACACACACAUACAUACAUACAUAUAUAUACAUAUACAUAUAUACGACAGGCUUCUUUCAGUUUCCGUCUACCAAAUCCACUCACAAGGCAUUGGUCGGCCCGGGGCUAUAGCAGAAUACACUUGUCCAAGAUGUCACGCAGUGGGACUGAACCCGGAACCAUGUGGUUGGUUAGCAAGCUACUUACCACACAGCCACUCCUGCUGUAUUUAUAUAUAAAAUCAGUAAUACUGGUUUAUGACCUUGUUUCUAAGUAACCUGCUUGUCCCUUUGACCUUGGCUUAAAAUUGCUAAGCUGGGAAUGAGUACAUGUAAUAUUCUUCUCCUUCCUCUCUCUGCUCUUUCCAAACGUCUGGCACUUCUUGACUAUGGUUAAUUUUAUCUCUCACUCUUUGUAACUAAAAUGCUUCAUUGCUAUAUCAUAAUUAUUACUAUUUUUUCCUUUAUAGUUUACUUUUUAUAAUUAUUAUUAUUCGCCCGGCGUUGCUCGGGUUUGUAAGGGAAAUAACUGUAUAAGCAUUUUUAGAGAGUUAUAGCCAAAAAGUAGCAAAAAAAAUGCAUUAAAAAUGGGAAAAAAAUGAUGGUAAAUUUUUUUUUAAAUCGUUGACUCAUCGUAGACAUUUUUAGAGAGUUACUUCCCUUAUAUAAUAGCGAAAAAAAUGCAUUAAAAUGGAAAAAAAUUAUGGUAAAUUUCUUUUCAAAUCAUAGACUCAUCGUAGACGCACGCUAAUACCCAGAAGGGCUCCAUAUGAAUCACGACUAUAAGAUACCCGGUUUUGGUUAAACUGCACCGCAAAAUGUGGGAGUAGUUAGGAAUCUAAAUCGUAGGAGACAGACACACAACUUGACUUUUAUAUAUAAAGAUUUACAAUAAUAAUAAAGGACGUUAGCAUAUACAGUUUUACAAACCUAGGACGUUAUAUAGACCUCCCUGACUCAAGUUAGAGAAGGGAUACGUAUUAUACACAAGGUUUAGGUUUUUCAGAAGUACCGCCCCCUUUAUAGUUUACUUUUUAUAAUUAUUAUUAUUCCAUUUCUUUGUCUUACAUAAUGUCUUUCAUUUCUUUUUAAAUAUUUUUUCUGCACUCAAUCAAAAGCUAAAGCUAUAUUCUGCUCCUAGUUUUUCUAUAUACUCUUUUACUUGUUUCAGUCAUUUGACUGUGGCCAUGCUGGAACACCGCCUUUAGUCGAGGCAAAUCGACCCAGGACUUGUUCUUUGUAAGCCUAGUACUUAUUCUAUUGCUCUCUUUUGCUGAACCGCUAAGUUACAGGAGAUGUAAACACACCAGCAUCGGUUGUCAAGCGAUUUUGUGGGGACAAGCACAGACACACAAACAUAUACACACACAUAUACAUAUAUAUAUAUAUAUAUAUAUAUAUAUAUAUAUACAAUGGGCUUCUUUUAGUUUUCAUCAUCCAAAUCCACUCUCAAGGCCUUAGUUGGCCCUGGUCUAUAGUAGAAGACAUCUGCCCAGAGUGUUACACAGUGGAACUGAACCCAGAACCAUGUGGUUGAGAAGAAAACUUCUUACUACACAGCCAUGCCUAUAACUGUUUGAAAAACAUACAAAUAGAUUCCAUUUUGGUUUAAAUGUAAAAAAAUUUGUUCCUGAUUUCAGUUACCGUAAAUCCUCGAGUAUAGUCAGCUCUUGAGUAUAAUACGCAGGGGAUUUUUAGGGGUCUGUACCUCUGAAAAACCUAAACCUUGUGUAUAAUAAGCACCCCUUCUCUAACUAGAGUCAAUGAAGUCUAUAUAACAUCCUUGGUUUGUAAAAAUGUAUACGGUAACGUCCUUUAUUAUUAUUGUAUAUAUAACAUAAUGCGAACGUGUAGCUUUUUUGUGCAUUUUACUCUUUUACUUGUUUCAGUCAUUUUGACUGCGGCCAUGCUGGAGCACCGCCUUUUAGUCGAGCAAAUCAACCCCGGGACUUAUUCUUUGUAAGCCCAGUACUUAUUCUAUCGGUCUCUUUUGCCGAACCGUUAAGUGACGGGGACGUAAACACACCAGCAUCGGUUGUCAAGCAAUGCUAGGGGGACAAACACAUACACACACAUAUAUAUAUAUAUAUAUAUACAUAUAUACGACAGGCUUCUUUCAGUUUCCGUCUACCAAAUCCACUCAUAAGGCAUUGGUCGGCCCGGAGCUAUAGCAGAAGACACUUGCCCAAGAUGCCACGAAGUGGGACUGAACCCGGAACCCUGUGGUUGGUUAGCAAGCUACUUACCACACAGCCACUCCUGCGCCUAUUUUGUUUGCAGAAAAUAAAGAAAUAACAGUAAUAACGAUUAAUAAAUAUUAGUUACUGCAAGUUUUGGAUGAUCCUUUUAUGACUUCAUUGCUUUCAGGCUUAGCUUAAGGUAUUUUCGCGCCCUACUUCACAAAAUGCGUCUGAAUAAACAUUGCCGGACAGCAAAUAGAGACUCGGACAUUGCUUAGAAAAUAAUUUUCAUUUUUAACCUCGUAUAUAAUAUGCAACUAGGGAUUUUGACCGUUAAAUUUUGGGAAGAAAAAUGCAGAUUAUACUUGAGGAUUUACAGUAAACAAAAAAAAAUAAUUUUUUUAAAUAAAGGUAAAAACUCACUUUUAGAAUCUUAUAAGCUUGUGCCAACACUGCUUUUUUGUCAGCUGACAAGUUGAUAACACAGUUGGAGCUAAAAUUAAAACAUAAAAAAACAAAAAGAAUUCUGUUUAGGCUGGCAUAUAUUGUUUAUAUUACAGUUUGUGAAUUAUUAAUGUUUUAGCUUCACUUAUAUCAAUUCAGCAUAUUUACUGAAAGUAUACACAUCUUCUUUGCCAUUGGGACAAUACCUUUUCUAUUUUGUUUGCUGGGGCCAUGAGAAAUGUUUCUUAAUGAAGAUAUAUAUAUAUAAAAAAAAAACUGUCACCUCAUAAGUAUAGACAAUACUUUUAUGAUACAAAGCACUAUAAAUAAUAAUAAAUGUGCCCUUUAUUGCCAGGCUCAUGGGCCCGGUUUCCUGGUUUCUAUGGCGUAUGUGUUCCGCAGCUGAAUGGGACGCCAGUCCAUCGCAGUGUUACUCAUUUUUGCCAGCUGAGUGGACUGGAGCAACGUGAAAUGAAGUGUUUUGCUCAAGAACACAAUGCGUCGCCUGGUCCAGGAAUCGAAACCACAAUCUUACGUUCAUGAUGCUGACACCCUAACCACCAAGCCACACACUUCCACACAAAUCACUAUAAUUAAGAUAAUUAUAAAUUAUUUAUUUCUCCAUAUAUGCAUAUGUAGUGGGGUUGGUUGCUCUGAGAGUGUAGCAACUAGAGUAAGAACAGCCUGGACAAAGUUCAGGGAGCUCCUACUUCUGCUAGUAACUAAGGGCCUCUCACUCAGGGUGAAAGGUAUGAUAUAUGUGUGUGAACUGCCAUGCUACAUGGCAGUGAAACAUGGGCCAUAAAUGCUGAAUACAUGCGUAAGCUUGAAAGAAAUGCAACUAGAUGUAUAAUGUCAGUGUGCACACAUGACAGAGUGUAAGCACCCUGAGAGAAAAGCUGGCAUAAGAAGCAUCAAAUGUGGUGUGCACAAGAGGUGACUGCGCAGGUAUGGCCAUGUGUUACAUAUGAAUGAAGACAGCUGUCAGGAUACCAACAUCAAAGAUCAAUGGAAACUGCAGUUAUGAAACCUGUGCCGGUGGCACGUAAAAAGCACCAUCCGAAUCGUAGCCGAUGCCAGCGCCACCUAGACUGGCUUCCGUGUCGGUGGCAUGUAAAAAGCACCAAUACGAUCGUGGCUGAUGCCAGCCUCGCCUGGCACCUGUGAUGGUGGCAUGUAAAAAGCACCCACUACACUCUUGGAGUGGUUGGCGUUAGGAAGGGCAUCCAGCUGUAGAAACACUGCCAGAUCAGACUGGAGCCUGGUGUAGCCUUCUGGCUUCCCAGAUCCCCGGUCAAACCGUCCAACCCAUGCCAGCAUGGAAAGUGGACGUUAAAUGAUGAUGACGAUGACAGCUGUGUGAGGAAGUGCCACUCCUAACUGUUGAAGGAACUUUUGGAAGAGGUAGACCCAGGAAGACAUGGGAUGAGAUGGUGAAGCAUGACUUUCGAACACUGGGCCUCAUAGAGGCACAGGAGUGGCUGUGUGGUAAGUAGCUUGCUUACCAACCACAUGGUUCUGGGUUCAGUCCCACUGCGUGGCAUCUUGGGCAAGUGUCUUCUGCUAUAGCCCUGGGCCCACCAAUGCCUUGUGAGUGGAUUUGGUAGGCGGAAACUGAAAGAAGCCUGUCGUAUAUAUGUAUAUAUAUAUAUAUAUGCGUCUGUGUGUUUGUGUACGUGUGUUUGUCUCCCUAGCAUUGCUUGACAACCGAUGCUGGUGUGUUUACGUCCCCGUUACUUAGCGGUUCGGCAAAAGAGACCGAUAGAAUAAGUACUGGGCUUACAAAGAAUAAGUCCCGGGGUCGAUUUGCUCGACUAAAGGCGGUGCUCCAGCAUGGCCGCAGUCAAAUGACUGAAACAAGUAAGAGUAAAGAGAGUAUGAUGGGUAUAUAAGCAGUAUUUUAGCAGAGAAAUUGCCCAUGUCCACUAUCCAUUCCUCACCCAACUACACACCACAUGCACUUGGUAAAUCUUUAACAUUAUCAUUUCCCUCUUCAACCAGUCUCAUCUCCUGGCACAAAAACCCCAGCAAAUGAAAAAGUGCUUUCAAUCACUUCAACUCAUCAAGGUCACGAAGCCUGACAAUGUCCUUGCCUUUACAUUCAAAGCAUGUACCCCAUCAAAUUUUUCAGUGUACACACAAACACACACACACACACACACACACACACAACACAUAUCAUGUAAACAACAUCCAAUGAAAGAUGAGCUUUAUGGAAAUACCUCCAACAGACACCCAUAAAAUUAUCAACCAUCGUACAAACAAUAACUCUGAGCACCUUUUCAAACUCCACUCAUCUAACACCCGUGGACAUAUUUACAAAGUAAGAAAACAGCACAGCUCCCAUGACUUCAGGAAACAUUUUUUCACGCUGAGAGUUGCUGAAGCAUGGAACAAACUGCUGGCAUCAGUUGUUAGUUGUCGGAGCACUGCAUCCUUCAAUACUUCCAUGCUUCCUGAGAUUCGCCAACACUACACCUAAUUUUCUCCCCUCCAUACACACGCAUGCAUGUAUCUGACUCAUACAUUGUUCGCUUUCCAGACAUUUCUACAUUACUGCAUGUACUUUAUAUGCACUUUCUGACAAGUUGUGGUGCACCUGAGCACUGUAUACAAUAAUUUCAUUAUUCAUCAUCAUCAUCAUCAUCGUCGUUUAGCGUCCGUUUUCCAUGCUAGCAUGGGUUGGACGGUUCUACUGGGGUCUGUGAAGCCAGAAGGCUUCAUCAGGCCCAGUCAAAUCUGGCAGUGUUUCUACGGCUGGAUGCCCUUCCUAACGCCAACCACUCCGUGAGUGUAGUGGGUGCUUUUUACAUGCCACCCGCACAGGUGCCAGACAGAGCUGGCAAACGGCCACGAACAGAUGGUGCUUUUUAUGUGCCACCGGCACAAGGGCCAGGCGAGGCUGGCAACGGACACGAAACGGGGCGGUGCUGGCAACGGUCGCGAAACGGAAGGUUCUCUUACAUGCCACCGGCACUGGUAACACAUCUGCAAUUUCCAUUGAUCGAUUUCCAUUCUGAUCCUCACUUGCCUCAACGGGUCUUCACAAGUAGAGUUUCGACAUGCCACCGGCACUGGUAACACAUCUGCAAUUUCCAUUGAUCGAUUUCCAUUUCAUUAUUAUUAUUAUUAUUAUCAUUAUUUAUAUCAUCAAUCAUUCAUGAGCUGAGGACAAGAUAUAACGGUCACUGCUAUCGAAGCAAAGAUAAUUUAGGGAGUGAGCUCCUUUUGUGGAUCCUAAACCACAGGAAUUAUCAUAUUGGACAACCCAGAAUGACAUACAUUGAUCAACUCAUGUGAUGAUGAGUUACAUAUAUAUGUUUCUUUAUUACCCACAAGGGGCUAAACAUAGAGGGGACAAACAAGGACAGACAAACGGAUUAAGUCGAUUACAUCGACCCCAGUGCAUAACUGGUACUUAAUUUAUCGACCCUGAAAGGAUGAAAGGCAAAGUCGACUUCAGCAGAAUUUGAACUCAGAACGUAACGGCAGAUGAAAUACCUAUUUCUUUACUACCCACAAGGGGCUAAACAUAGAGGGGACAAACAAGGACAGACAAACAGAUUAAGUCGAUUACAUCGACCCCAGUGCAUAACUGGUACUUAAUUUAUCGACCCUGAAAGGAUGAAAGGCAAAGUCGACUUCGGCAGAAUUUGAACUCAGAACGUAACAGCAGAUGAAAUACAGCUACGUAUUUCGCCCAGCAUGCUAACAGUUCUGCCAGCUCACCGCCUUUUGAGUUACUCUCUUUUACUUGUUUCAGUCAUUUUGACUGCGGCCAUGCUGGAGCACCGCCUUUAGUUGAGCAAAUCGACCCCAGGACUUAUUCUUUGUAAGCCUAGUACUUAUUCUAUCGGUCUCUUUUUGCCGAACCGCUAAGUGACGGGGACGUAAACACACCAGUAUCGGUUGUCAAGCAAUGCUAGGGGGACAAACACAUACACACAAACACACACAUACAUAUAUAUAUAUAUAUAUACAUAUAUACGACAGGCUUCUUUCAGUUUCCGUCUACCAAAUCCACUCACAAGGUAUUGGUCGGCCCGGGGCUAUAGCAGAAGACACUUGCCCAAGAUGCCACGCAGUGGGACUGAACCCGGAACCAUGUGGUUGGUUAGCAAACUACUUACCACACAGCCACUCCUGCGCCUUUUGAGUUACAUAUAUAUGAUAUCAAAAUGUCGUGGAAGACGGGAAAUGGUUGGAGGGAAAGUGUGACUUUUUUUUUCAGGUAAUCCACCUGAAACAAGAGACAUGUGUAACAAAGAGUCACAGUAAUUUAUUACUGACUAUAUGUUGAACUCAAAUAAUUUAUUGUAAUUUCUGCCAAUCUGCAGCUAGGUCAAACAGCCAACAAGGAACACUUUCUAUUCAGGGCUAUAUAUAAACUUUGACAUAUAAAAUAAGGGUUACAGAAUCCCCUGUAAAUAUUAUUUUGGAAUACAAUUUUGAAUAUCUGAGUGUUACUUGUUUAUGAACCUUAACCAUACAAUGAAACCAAAAAUAUAAACAGAAUUUAUAGUGUAAUGAAUGCAAAAAGUCGAAAUAACAUUUACUACACAUCUUAAUAGUUUUCUGAUUAAGGACAUUACGCCCUUUCAUUCCCAAGUGUGAGAAAUUUCUCACAAUUGUUCACCUAUGAAAGCAAAAUUAAUGUCAGAGGAAAGACGUAUUCAAAAGAGUUUUUCAGCUUUUAUCAAAUGCUUCAUCAUCAUCAUCAUCAUCAUCUAAGCAUUUACAACACAAUUGACUAGUUAAUCAUUGGUUGUAUUCUGAAUCAGGUUACAUACCAUCAUCAUCGUUUAACAUCCGCUUUCCAUGCUGGCAUGGGUCGGACGGUUUGACUGAGGACUGGCAAUCAAGAAGGCUGCACCAGGCACCAAUCUGUUCUGGCAAGGUCUCUAUAGCUGGAUGCCCUUCCUAACGCCAACCACUCCGAGAGUGUAGUGGGUGCUUUUUAUGUUCCACUGGCACAGGGGCCAGUCAAGAGGCACUGACAUCAACAAGCUCAAAUGGUGCUUUUUAUGUGCCACCGGCACAGGAACCAGUCAGGUGGCACUGGCAUUGACCAUGCUCAAAUGGUGCUUUUUAUGUGCCACCGAAAGGGGUGCCAGUCAGGCGGCAUUGACAAUGGCCACGACAACGAUUUCACUUGACUCAACAGGUCUUCUCAUGCAGAGCAUAUUGCCUGACAACUGAAGCAUACUUUUAAAAGGGUCCUAAGGCCAACCACUCCAAGAGUGUAGUGGGUGCUUUUUAUGUGCCACACGUAUGAGGGCCAGUCAGGAGGUACUGGCAUCGACCAUGCUUGAAUGGUGCCGCCGUGCACAUGAAAUACUUUUAUCAGCUCAGGUGUAGCCAAGGGUUUGUGGCCCACAUCCUACACAUCAGUGAUCAAUUUGCCAUCACCUCCAACAACAGCCUGUUUUUAUCAUGAGCCUACCCCAUCAAGUUUACUCUUUUAUUAUAAGUCAACAUUUAACUCAGCUCUAAGCAACAACAACCACUCUACAGUUAGAUCAAACAGCCAGCAAAAGUAUCUUAACAAGGAACACUUUCUAUUCAGGGCUAUAUAUAAACUUUGACAUAUAAAAUAAGGGUUACAGAAUCCCCUGUAAAUAGUGUUUUAGAAUACAAUUUUGAAGUGAUAAAAAUAAAAGUUUAUAUACAUACAUAAUGAUGUCAAAAUAAUUUUCCUUGAGGCCUGCAUCAGUAAGGUGCUCAAUAUAGCCCUUAACAAAUUUAACAUUUGGGGUCUUGUAGUCAAAGAGUUUGGUGUGGUAGUCUAUAUACUGAUUAGCAAUAUCAAGCUGGAAUAAGGAGAAAAAAUAUAUGCAUAUGACAUUGAAAUUCAGGUGCAUUUAUGAAUAAUUUUACUUGUAAGUACCGUAAAUCCUCGAGUAUAGUCCGCCCUUCUAAACCUUGUGUAUAAUACGCAUCCCUUCUCUAACUUGAGUCAGGGAGGUCUAUAUAAUGUCCUAGGUUUGUAAAACUGUAUACGCUAACAUCCUUUAUUAUUAUUGUAAAUCUUUAUAUAUAAAAGUCAAGUUGUGUGUCUGUCUCCUACGAUUUAGAUUCCUAACUCCCCCCCCUUUAUGCGGUGCAGUUUAACCAAAACCAGGUAACUUAUAGUCGUGAUUCAUAUCGAGCCCUUCUGGGUAUUAGCGCGUGUCUACGAUGAGGCUACGAUUUUAAAAAAAAUUUACCAUCAUUUUUUUUCCAUUUUAAUGCAUUUUUUUCGCUAUUAUAUAAGGGAAGUAACUCUCUAAAAAUGUCUACGAUGAGUCAACGAUUUAAAAAAAAAUUUACCAUCAUUUUUUUUUCCAUUUUUAAUGCAUUUUUUUGCUAUUUUUUGGCUAUAACUCUCUAAAAAUGCUUAUAUAGUUAUUUCCCUUACAAACCCGAGCAACGCCGGGCGAUACUGCUAGUAUAACAUAAUACAAUUUCAGUCAUUACCCAAUAUUCAUGACCAUAGAUGAGAAUAGGCAUGGAAACUGAACUGAAGAUAACAAAUUUGUUUUUUUUUGUUUUUUUGGCAACAUCUACUCUUCUGAGGAUUGAAUGCUGGAGCAAGCACAUUACUGUGAAAGCAAUGGAGACUUGGCAUAGGACAACUGGCCACAUUCAGUAGCAUUGGGUCACUUGUUGAGGUUGUCUCUACAGAUUUUCUAUAGAAAUUAUAGCCAGCAUUGAUUGUGUUAUGUUUCAUAUCCAAGACGCCAGAUAUGAAAUGUUAAAACAAAUUCAGUGUUGGCUAUAAUUUCUAUACAAAAAUCUGUAGAGACAAUCUUAACAAGUGAUGUAAUAACACUGCUAACAUAGGAGAACACAGAACUCAUCAUCAUCAUCAUCGUUUAACGUCCGUUCUCCAUGCUAGCAUGGGUUGGAUGGUUCGACCGGGGAUCUGGGAAGCCAAAAGGCUGCACCAGGCUCCAGUCUUAUCUGGCAGUGUUUCUACAGCUGGAUGCCCUUCCUAACGCCAACCACUCCGUGAGUGUAGUGGGUGCUUUUUACGUGCCACCCGCACAGGUGCCAGGCGAGGCUGGCAACGGCCACGGUCGGAUUGGUGCAUUUUACGUGCCACCGGCACGGAAGCCAGUCGAGGCGGCACUGGCUUAUAAAAACGUUUAAUAGACUUUGUAGUACUGGGUUGUCCAGAAAGUUCAUGCCGAUUUAUAGUAGCUUACCUUUCGACUUAUUUUAGAACAUGGUUGAGUUCAUAAAAUAGGAUUUGACUACACCUCCAUUUAGACCACAGUUUAAGCUGUCUUUUCGUGGAAGAAGGUUUAUGUUCCUAUAACCUGUGUUAAUUCUGUAACCCUUUAAAAUGGAAGAUAAGAAAGUUCAUUUUUGGGAACCAGACAAAAAUUGCUGCAGCUCGGCUGGAAUGUGUUACCCCAUCCUCCAUAUUCACCAGAUAUUGCUCCUUCGGAUUUCCACUUAUUCAGGUCUCUGCAGAAUAGUCUUAAUGGUAAAAAUUUCAAUUCCUUGAACGAUGUAAAAAGACACCUUGAUGAAUUCUUUCCCAUGAAACCACCUCAAUUCUGGGAAGAGGGUAUUUUCAAGUUAAAGGAAAGAUGGAAACGCAUUGUGCAACAAAAUGGUUCAUAUUUGGUUGAUUAAUAAUGUAAUAGCAAGUAUUUAUUGACCUUUUUCUUUCCUUUAAAAAUCGGCACAAACUUUCCGGACAACCCAUUAUAUUAUAGUUGCAUAAUGAAAUAUCAUGUCCCUACAAGUUAUUAAUAGCAUUAGGACAUGUUCAGAGCACAUCAAAAAUAGUGCAGCAUUUUACAAAAUUUUUGCAAGAGUACAACUAAAACUGCCAAGUCCUAGAAAAAUAAAAGAAGAAUCUAGAAUUGUCUUACCUGUUCUUGUGUCAUAUCAACACCAACUAUAUAACCAUCAGCUCCAACCAGUUUUGAUAAUGCAAAACAAUCUUGUCCACUUCCACUUCCCAAAUCAAGGAUCUUCAUACCUUCCAGGCUUUCAGGAAUCACAAGUCCACAUCCAUAAUAUCUGAAUGAAAUACAUAUAUAUGUGUGUGUGAUUGUGUGCAUCUAUGUAUCUAUCUAUAUAAAUAUACAGGGAAGAUUUAUGUUUAUAAAAAAAACCAGAUAUACAAUGACAGAGAUUUAUGUUUAUAAAAAAAAAACAGAUAUACAAUGACAGAGAUUUAUGUUUAUAAAAAAAAACCAGAUAUACAAUGACAGAUAAUUUUAUCAAAAAAUACUAUGACGAUAACAAUAAACCUUCUUUUCUAUAAUGUUAUUCAAUAAAGCCACGUUCAGCUUCAACAACUGCUUCUAUAUGAGAUCUAAAUCAAGUGGUCCUGAUUCAUUUUGGACAUUACUCCGACUAUGGCAGCUUUCAAAGAAUCUUUGGUGUUAUGGGCGUAUUCAUUGAUCUCUCUUUCAACAAUGUUCCACAUGUAAUAGUCGAAUGGAUUGAGAUCUGGGGAAUUAGAAGGCCAAACGUUAGGGGUUAUGUGAUCAUAAAAAUUUUCAGCCAUCCAUUCCUGUGUUACUGGAGCCAUGCGUGAUAGUGCACAGUCUUACUAAAAUACACAUGGCCUUCCAUUGCAUACACUGUCUAUCCAGGGCUUAACAAUUAUUUCCAGGACCUCAAUGUAGGCAGUAGAGUUAACUCAAAGGCCUUCUGGAAAGAAGUAAGGAGGCAUCACAUGUCCUUCAUUGCUGACAACCCCUAAAACUAUGACAGUUGCAGGAAAUUUUGUAUGCAUAACACUUGGAACUUCAGAAGGGUCUGCACAUAACCGUCUGUCAUUUCUUCUGUUAACUUUUUGAUCUUGGUCGAAGAUUUUCUUGUUUGAGAAAAACCAAAUAAAAUCUUUUGCUGGAUUUUUCAGUUUGUUUAAGAGCCUUUUAGAUCUGAUGUAGUGAUUUUCUUUUGCUUUUUCUGCCAAAUUGACCUUUCCUCAUCAUAUAAGACUUAUAUCUGAUGUCUUCAUGGACAACAUUUCUGAUCGUUCCUUCUGACACAUGGAGAUCUUUUGCAAUUGACCUUAAUGGACUUUCUGGGAUUGUAAUCAAUGACCUGUUGAACUUGCUGGAUAAAUUCAGGUGGUCUGAUGAUUUCAGAGCAUUCAAAAUGCUUUUUAUGCUUUGAUGCUGUGAUACAUUUCCAUCUUCAGUCUCCAGCACCUUACAAACUUUGUAGAUGAAAGAUCUGGCAACUUUAAAAAAAAAAUCGAGAUAUUUCUAAAUUGCUAUGCUCAGCACUAAUAACGGAGUCAAUAUCUGUUGACAUGAGUUUGUUUUGAAGCCAGAGGAGGAUAUGGGCAUGAGGGAGUCCUCUUUUCUGCCAUUCUACUGUGUACAUGAAGCAACUUAAUGGUCCAAAAACAUAUCCGUGUUUUAUAACGUCCAUCAUUUUCAUUAACUUCAGAUGAAACACUCUAGAUGUAAUAUCUGUUUCUUUAUUACCCACAAGGGGCUACACACAGAGGGGACAAACAAGGACAGACAAACGAAUUAAGUCGAUUACAUUGACCCCAGUGUAUAACUGGUACUUAAUUUAAUGACCCCGAAAGGAUGAAAGGCAAAGUCGACCUCGGCGGAGUUUGAACUCAGAACGUAACAGCAGAUGAAAUACGGCUACGCAUUUCACCCGGCAUGCUAACGGUUCUGCCAGCUCGCCGCCUUUUGAUGUGAUAUCACUCUAGAUGUGAUAUCAUGCCUAUCUGGAGUAUUUGGGCCGUAAAGUGAGACUGGCUGUCAACCCAUUUUGGAUUACAAGAGAAGGUGAGGAAAAAAUCUGGACAGCCACUGUGGUGGACAUAAGUGAGAGCAUCCUGCAUUUUUUCAUGCAUGUACUAGGGGCCUUCAGUGUAUGAUGAUAGGAGAAUGACAGAACGUCCAAUAUUCAAAGCAGCAACCUGAUCAUUUCGUCUUACUUCGUCAUGAAGAUUGCCAUAUUCUUCUGUACACAAUUCCUUUUGAUGGUGUCUUAUCCAUCGGUGGCAUUCAGUGUCAAUCGGGAAAGGGAAGAAAUGUGUGGAGUAAAUAGUUAGUGACCUGGCUAAGGAAAUUUUGUGGAAGAAAUCACAAAAUAAGAAUAUCUACCUUAGCAAAUAUGUCUACACAGUAUUGAUUGAGGAGCAUCUGUGUUCUAUGAAGAAUGCUGAUGUUGUUGUUGCGAACUAUACUCUUUACUCUUUUACUUGUUUCAGUCAUUUGACUGCGGCCAUGCUGGAGCACCGCCUUUAAUCGAGCAACUCGACCCCGGGACUUAUUCUUUUGUAAGCCCAGUACUUAUUCUAUCAGUCUCUUUUGCCGAACCGCUAAGUGACGGGGACAUAAACACACCAGCAUCGGUUGUCAAGCAAUGCGAGGGGGACAAACAUAGACACACAAAUAUAUAUAUAUAUAUAUAUAUAUAUAUAUAUAUAUAUAAAUAUACAUAUAUACGACGGGCUUCUUUCAGUUUCCGUCUACCAAAUCCACUCACAAGGCUUUGGUCAGCCUGAGGCUGUAGUAGAAGACACUUACCCAAAGUGCCACGCAGUGGGACUGAACCCGGAACCAUGUGGUUGGUAGACAAGCUACUUUCCACACAGCCACUCCUGCGCCUAUAAGCUGAAAUGCAUAAAAUUCCAUUUACUUGUUUCAGUCAUAGGAGCAGGCAUGGCUGUGUGGUAAGAAGCUUGCUUCCCAAUGACAUGGUUCUGGGUUCAGUCCCAUUGCAUGGCACCUUGGGCAAAUGUCUUCUACUAUAGUCUCAGGCCAACCAAAAACCUUGUGAGUGGAUUUGGUAGACUGAAACUGAAAGAAGCCCAUCGUGUGUAUAUAUAUGUGUGUGUGCAUGUGUGUGCAUGUGUAUGUAUUCGUGUGUUUGUUUUUCCCCCCCCCCAUAUCGCUUGACAACUGAUGGUGUGUUUACGUCACCAUAACCUAGCGGUUCAACAAAAGGGGCCAAUAGAAUGAGUACUAGGCUUACAAAGAAUAAGUCAUGGUGGUGGGGGGGUCGAUUUGUUUGACUAAAGGCGGUGCUCCAGCAUGGCCGCAGUCAAAUGACUGAAACAACUAAAAGAAUAAAAGAAUAUAUAUAUUCUGCAGUCAAGCAUAGCAUUGAAAGGACACACUGUGAAACCUGCUCAAGCACAAGAAAUUUAUAAUGGACUAGCAGUAUCGCCCGGCGUUGCUCGGGUUUGUAAGGGAAAUAACUAUAUAAGCAUUUUUAGAGAUGUAAAGUAUAAUAGCCAUCUCAAUAUGGCUAACCACAAAGGGGGGUGUUACUGUAGCUUUUUACAUUCUGAGAUUUAAUAAUACAUUUUUAGAGAGUUACUUCCCUUAUAUAAUAGCUAAAAAAUGCAUUAAAAAUGGGAAAAAAUGAUGUUAAAUUUUUUUUUUAAAUCGUAGACUCAUCGUAGACGCGUGCUAAUACCCAGAAGGGCUCGAUAUGAAUCACGACUAUAAGAUACCCGGUUUUAGUUAAACUGCACCGCAAAAUGUGGGAGUAGUUAGGAAUCCAAAUCGUAGGAGACAGACAGCACAACUUCACAUUUAUAUAUAAAGAUUUAUAAGCAGAGUCUCUGUGGACACAUAUUGUACUCAGUCCAGUGCAAUAUCAAGGCAUGAGCACACAGUACAGUUGACUGGGGACCUCAUGGGUUUAGGGGCCCCAAUUCUGAUCUACAUAUGUUGUUGUUUGCUGUCAAUAAAUGGGUCCAGUGUAUUGAUUUACCCAGGGCUUAUAAUGCUGUUAAGGAUUGGAAUUAGUUUGGCUCUUUACUCUUUUACUAGUUUCAGUCAUUUGACUGUGGCCAUGCUGGAGCACUGCCUUUAGUCGAAGAAAUCGACUCCAGGACUUAUUCUUUGUAAGCUUACUACUUUUUCUAUCGGACUCUUUUGCCGAACCGCUAAGUUACGGGGACGUAAACACACCAACAUCAGUUGUCAAGCAAUGCUAGGGGGACAAACAGACACACACACACACACAUAUAUAUAUAUAUAUAUAUAUAUACAUACGACAGGCUUCUUUCAGUUUCCGUCUACCAAAUCCACUCACAAGGUUUUGGUCGACCCAAGGCUAUAGUAGAAGACACUUGACCAAGGUGCCACACAGUAGGACAGAACCCAGAACCAUAUGGUUGGUAAGCAAGCUACUUACCACACAGCCACUCCUGCACCUGAAUCAGUUUUUGUUUCCCCUUUUUCCAGUUGUAUAUUAAAUCAAGCACUGUGUCCUCUUUUAGGUGACAAAAGUACAAGUAAAAUACAAAGAAAUGACCAGAAGUGAUGACAAUAAAUCAAAGGAAAACUCAAGUCCAAAACUUACACCUGUACUGGUCCACAUACAAUGCACCCAUACAAGGGCAUCCAUAGCUAAACCAAGCUAAAUCUUUUUGACAGAAAAAUUAACCAAGAUUUUUUUCGAAAAAUCUGUUUUUUUAACCACCAUAACCACCACCACAACUUCCCCUCUCUGGACCGGUUUUCGUCGAUUCUGUGGGCACUAUGCACUUAACUAUAGAAGCCUUUCCAGGAAAAAAAAUAUAUAUUUUCAGACGAAAAUAUGUGGUAUUAAAGGAAGAUUUGGCUGUUGUUUCUAGCAUAUCUCAUGCCCACCUUCCUCGUUUCUUUCUCACUCUAACAAGUGUUGGUGUUUUUCAAUAUUGUCUUCCUAUUAAUAACAUAAACUCAUUUAUGCUACUAAAAAGAAUAUUUUUGAAAAUUUAUGAUUUUUAUGAAACCAACCUUACCGGUCAUGGAAACAACAACCAAAUCUCCCUUAAAAUCACACACCUAUUCAUCUAAAAAUAUCUACUUUUUUUUUUACUGAAAGGUCUUUUUAAGAGCAUAGUGCCCACAAAUUCGACCAAAACUGGUCAAGAGAGGGGAAGUUGUGGGGGGAAGGGGUUAAAAAAUAUAUUUUCCGAAAAAUUUAUUUUCUGUAAAAAGAUGCUUCAGAUCAUUUCCAAAGAAUCCAUGAAAGAAAUUUCGGAAAAAUCCCCGUCAAAACGGAGAAAUUCCAACUUGGUGCUAUCUAUCUCCGACGUCCGUCGAGACGGGCAUGGCUAUGCUGUUACAAAAUUUGCUUCACAACUAUGAGGUUUUGGGUUCAGUUCCACUGUAUGACACCUAGGGCAAAUGUCUUCUACUAUAGCCCCAGGCCAACCAAAGCCUUGUGAGUGGAUUUGGUAGACGGAAACUGAAAGAAGCCCAUCGUGUGUAUAUAUAUGUGUGUGAAGGCGGCGAGCUGGUAGAAUCGUUAGUACGCCGUGCGAAAUGCUUAGCGGUAUUUCGUCCGCUGCUGCGUUCUGAGUUCAAAUUCCGCCGAGGUCGACUUUACCUUUCAUCCUUUCGGGGUCGAUAAAUUAAGUACCAGUUACGCACUGGGGUCGAUGUAAUCGACUUAAUCCCUUUGUCUGUCGUUGUUUGUCCCCUCUGUGUUUAGCUCCUUGUGGGUAGUAAAGAAAUAUAUAUAUGUGUGUGUGCGUGUGUAUGUAUUUGUGUGGGUGUGUUUGUCCCCUCCCACCAGUGGACACUUACACGUUUGUAUGUGAGUUUUUGUGUGCGUGUACAGGUGUAGAAGGGCGAAAAGGUUAAGUUCUUUUUGCAACCCUGAAUUGGAUAUCAUUUUAGAUUUUUUUUUCUAAGGUGUAAGGCGGCAAGCUGGCAGAAACGCGGCCCAAAUACUUAACGGCAUUUCAUCCGUUUUUACGUUCUGAGUUCAAAUUCCACCGAGGUCGACUUAACCUUUCAUUCUUUCGGGAUGGACAAAAAAAAAAUAAUAAGUACCAGAAGCGUACUGAGGUCGACAUAAUCAACGAGCCCCCAUCCCACCCCCAAUUUCAGGCCUUGUACCUGUAGAUUCUAGUAGUGUUUAUUAUUUUAGGCAUGAUAAGUGAGGGUGAAGAAGGACGCGACGUUUAAAAUACGUUUCAGAAUAUGAUAAACCUACACCAACGUAAGGGGGAAAAUCUUUUUAAGUAACGUAGCUGCCAUAAAGGUAUGAAAAGUGGGAGGUGCAGACAUUUAAAAAUCAUGAAUUGAAAUAUUUUCAUUUCAUAAAAUUUAAAAAAAUUAAAAAAGUGGGGACGGAAUAGUUUCGUUUAUGGUCAGGAGAUUUCCUGCUGGUUGUUCGGUAAUUUCCAUAAAUAAUUUUAAUUUAUUUACUUCAGUUUUCAUGUCCCCUUGAAUGCGACAUUCCCUAGAAGUUCGACUUUUCACCUAUCUCACCGACUUCAGAGCAAAUGUCGCCUUCAAACUGGACAUGAAAACAAAAGUAAUUAAAUAUAACUUCUUUCGAAAGUUGCUAAACAACCAGCUGGAAAUCUCGAGACCAUAAUAAAGAAUCUUGCAAACCAAAUCCAAAAAAGGAAAUAAUAAACGAAAUUAUGCCAAACUAGGCUUACGGCGGACCUAUUGCGCAUUUCAAAAUUAUGAGAUUUUUCAAUUUACUCUGCAACCAGACUCGUCGCCAGACUUCGGUUCUCGGGGGUGUUUCAGAAUAUUCUGGUUCGGAACCAAUUUGUAAUAAUGCUAAAGUGGAGUUUUGAAAUAAGUAUAUCACUGUAAAUCUGAGGGUACACCAGUGAAUAGAGAAGACAGUUAGGGCACACAUGUGGACGUAUGCCUAUGCCAUACCUCUACAUAUGUCUAUCCCCCCCAAUAGAACAGGAGUUCUCAACCAUUUUUUUUAUCUAUGGAACCCUUUGAUUACUAUUUUAUUCUGGUGGACCCCAUAGCCAUUUGAUGUUUAAAAACUAGUUUUAUAGUAACUUACUAAAUUCUUUUUUUGUUUUUCAUACAUUAACUUGUGUAGGUUGAACUACAUAUGUUAGAGAAAGAAACCUAGCUCCCUCUUACAAUACAUACAAAAUUUUUUCAGGGGCUCUUAAAAUACUAUUGAAGAUCCCCAGUUUACUAUUUACUAUUUAGUUGCGUGGACCCCAAAAAUUUCAUGUGGACCCAGAAUGAAAACAACUACUAUAGAAGAAAUAUUAGUUUCAUUUAAAUUGACACCGCUUUGGUUAAGGAUUACCAAUCCGUAUUAUUGAUUCGAUUACACCGACUCCAGUAUUUGACAGAUACUUUGUUUCAUCGACCUCGAAAGAAUGAAAGGCAAAGUUAACCUUGGUGAGAUUUGAACGCAAAACGUUUAACAGCUAUAAUUAAAAAAACCACGAACAUUUCGUUCGAUUCUCAAACGAUUCGGUCAUCCUAUCACCUUUGUCUAUUUUUAUCGAUCUCUCUACUUACCGUAUUUUAACGUAAGGUACCCUUUUUUGUCAAAAAUUAGGUUAAAAAAAUAUGGGAGUUUCUUAAACAUAGAUAGUAUUAUAAUCCCUUACAAAACUUUUUUCUUCAAAUUUUAAGCACGAAAAAUUAGGGGAUUCCUUAUACAAGAGGGUUCCUUUAACACGUUAAAAUACGGUAAAUAGGAUUUGUUUUAUCGAUUUCAGUAGCUGAAAGGCAAACUUUGUAAUUUUCGAUCUUAUAAUUGUUUACUUACUUCUUACGGAUAUCCUCGUGGACCAUAGCAAUGACAUUCUUUACCCGUGGGCUAAGCCUUUUGCCUAGUGAUACACUGCAUGAACUAAGUUUUAGGUCAUCCGUUGUUUUAACGGUUUUCCCGUAAUAUUCCUUCACUUGAUCGUGGAUUUUUCCUUCACUUGCGUCACACAUGUUUAUAUUUAUUCCUAGAGAAACAACACUUUGGUAUUAUCUACAAGUGUCGGCGAAAAGCUUAAAGGAGCGAUUAAUGAAAUUCAGCUUUAUAUGGAGAACAAAGUAGGACGUGCUUACGUCGCUCGUUGGUGCUUCUGCCGGCGUUUACCCCGCCCCUCGUCCUUUCGCUUUACAAUACAUUAUUUGACAACGUAUCAUCAAUUUUAUAAAGGCCAAGAGAAAGUUUUUUUUUCUUCGUUAUUCUCCCUCUAUUCGAAAUAGAAAUCACAAACUAGAAAUAAAAUUAGUUUUUCGGAAUUUUUUUAACAUUUUCUGAAUGCAAAACAAUAGCAAAUUACUCAUUCACAAAAAAAAAAAAUGCUUUUUUUUUUUUUUUUCAAAACCCGUUUUUUGAAAUGUCACAGCAACUAAUUUCGUAUCUUCUCCCUAUCUGUCGUCUACAACGUGUCUUCGCAAUAUCUCGAGUAAAAUUAUUUUUCCAUAUUCGUAAUUUUUCAUCGUUUUAUCCAGAAACAUUUCUGGCGAUCUUUCGUCUCUAGUAGACCUUUCCGUCGAUUUCCGUAAAAAUUUUUUUUUUUUUACAUAUGGGCUUGCGGGAACUUUUGAAGUAAUAUACAUACAUAUACACAUACACCGAGUAAAAAAUUUCAGUUAUCUCUCUCUUUCACACAUUACUCUGUCUCUUCACACACACUAACAGAAGCACUUCACUUACACAACAUACUGUCUGUCUCCCACACCCCAUCAAACACACACACACACAUGUACAUCAAUGCUUUCCAUGCACGGUAACUUCAAAAGAACUUCCCUCGUCAUACAAUCGCUUUCUCUUAGUGUCUUUCGCUCUCAUUACUUCAAAAGUUCCCGCAAGCCCAUAUGUAAAAAAAAAGUUUUUUACGGAAAUCGACGGAAAGGUCUACUAGAGACGAAAGAUUGCCACAUUUCUAAUUCGCAGUUUAAAGAAAGGAAAGAAAAUUUAAUAACCUACUCCCCUCAUUCAUCGUACAUUCCACGAUUAAAAUCAAUUUUUGGGGGGUUUUUUUCGCUCUAAAUUCGCCUCGUAUCUACUACUCUUUUAUCCUUUCACUUGUUUCAGGCAUUUGACUGCGGCCAUGCUGGUGCACCACCUUUAGUCGAGCAAAUCGACCCAGGACUUAUUCUUUGUAAGAUCAGUACUUAUUCUAUCGGUCUCUUCAUACUAGCUGGACCCAUGAAAAAUUCACGGAAAACAAAAAAUGUAAGCAUCUGCGAACAGUGUACUGGUGCCAUGAGAAAUGUUUGUAUAUUAUGACCGUCUGUCUUUAUGUUCUG
rnacentral:lncRNA from 1 species